UCAUAUUGCCUUCUCGAAUUGCACCAAAAUAACUGCGUAAGAUAUGGCCUUGGAGCUUCCUUUUAUUGGAAGAGUAAAAGAAAAACAAGUUGUGAUUGUAUCUUUCUUAAGCUAUUUUACUAGUUCCUCAACCAGUUUUACUUUGUGAUCAAUUUCAGCUUGUGAAGUGGGACCAAUAUAGCUUUGCCUCGGCUAUGGGGCCCGCAGCUGUGGAGCUUCUAACAGCCGGAUUGGAUAGUUAUGCUACCCAAUCUAAACGUGUCGAAGAGUUAUUUGGGAAGAUAUGGCCGCCACCAAAUGUAUAAUUAAUAAAGGCUUAUCAGCCAUAACCAAUAAGGUGUUGCCUCCGUGGAAUAAAGGGAUGCCAAAUGCCCCAAUGCUUACUCAAACCUUCCACGAAUAACCAAUGGAAAGAGGGUGCUCGCUCGUGUUAUGUAACUUUUACUUAUGUCCUUCUGCAGUUAUGUUAUGUUGAAGCGCCAUUUGGUAUCUUAGCUGCUCCGGGGUAUUUCUUAUGAGAACAUUGGAAUACUACUUUCUCGGUAUUUACCGUAAGUCUAUAAUUUCAUACUAAAAUUAACUUCCCCCUUCUUCUUAUGUUUCUUCUUCAAUGUACUUCAGACGAGUUUAAAUUAGAGAUAAUCUUGUUUGGUGUAUAUGAAGUGUAUAGCUCUCAUUUUAUAUUGUUAUAUGGAAAUAUAUGCACAUUUCUGGUGUAGCACGAGUAUAGAUUGACGAAAGAGGAGAGAUAAUUAUAGGGCAUCCCUUAGUUCGAAGAAAAUGCUUACUCUAAAAAUGCAAUUCCCAGUUGGAGAGAGACUGCGCCCGAUGAGUAGUUUUCUUGAUUUAAGUGUUAUCAAAAAAUAUUGCUCCCAGAAAGAAUCCUCUCUCCACUCAUUCUUCUCCUACAACUUUUAGAGGGUGUUUGGCUAAGCUUAUUUUAAAUAUGGGUAAAUUUCACUUUCCCCCCUUGUACUUUGGCUGGAUAUUAUUUGACCCUCUUGUACUCUCAA
rnacentral:lncRNA from 1 species